CCGACUCCUCCCUCCAUCUCUCUCUCUCUCUCUCCCCUCUCCUCUCUUCCUCUCAUCGCAAGAAACCCCAAUGCCCGACGCCUCUCUGUGCCGCGCCCCCACCUCUUCCCUCCCAUCGCAAGAAACCCCCGGCAUAAUGUUGUGGUUGCGGAAGCCGUGAUUUAAGCGCGGAGGAGAUGAGAUCCUGGGGGAAGGGGACGAUGCAGAACACGAGCAGGCGGCGGGGAUACCUUUCUCUGUCGUCGCUGUGGUCGGCGUUACCGGGCUUGUGAUUCGUGGGCCGGAUGUGGUUUAUUUCUCCCUCGGCCCUUUGUUUCUGAGUCCGAUCCGUGUGGAUAAGUGUGCCGGCCAGGAAGCGCGGUGGGGGGCGAAGAGGUUCUUGGAUUUCUUGGAGUUUGAAGCAGAAAAUGCUGCAAGAUCAUCGAAAGACGGUCAGGGUUUCUUCAUCAUUGCUACAUGUCCUUGGGAUGGUCCCAUGCUGUUCGUUCUCCAUGGAGUAGCAAUGAAGUCUUUGUACUGAAAAAGCGUAACUAUAGGCUAUUACCUCUAUGCCACACGCAAAACCCACUGCUGGACAACUGAAUUUUCACUCGUGAUUUGGAUGGAACUUGUUAUUCCAACUUCAAUUCAUGAAGCAAAGGCUCAUAAUUCACCAGCACUGCACUUUUCCAGGAUAUAUGGAGAUGCCAAUAGACAUAAAAUUUAGGAGGUUAUUGGGAAAAGCAAUUUACUACAGAGUUAUUUGUUCGGCAGUUGAUGGUUGAUACUCUUACUGGAAAGACUGUGAUGAUCGAGAAGAUAUAAAUUAAGGUGGUUAUUCGAAAAAGGAAGUUACGGAGUUGUUUAGUCAGAGCAUUUGACAGUAGAUGAAAGAAAGUUACGAUGAAGAAGAUAUGUGGGAUCAAGCUUCUCUGACUUGUGAGACAUCCGGAUACUCUAAAGAUCAAGAACAAUCAUGUUGCCUCCAUCAAGGAGGGGAUUGAAAAAAUUUUUUGAGCUCAUGGAGACAGAUCUUCACCAAAUUUAUCAAGGCUAAUGAUGCUGACAGGAGAAAAUAUUCCUUCUUUUUUACCUAUACCAAUGGCUGCACACAUUAAAGUAUAUCUAUAAAGGUCAGAUCAUAUUUUCCGGUGAUAUGUUGCUAGGAUCAUGUGAUUUAAACCAGCCAUUAGCUUUAGUUUUUCUCUUGACUUAGGAAAAUUAUAAUUUUUUUUUAAUGUAUAUUGCUUACUGCUUUUUGACUAACUUGUUGUGGUUGCAACUGAUUUUCUUAAAACUAGAGAAGUUCGUCGACAAUUUGGUAUUAGAACUCAUAGCGUCUUGGAGUUUGGAUGGUUCUCUUCUUUAAGUUCCCAUCUUGGAUUGGUUAGAAACUGAAUUCGUGAUCUGCAUCCUCUUGAAUAGGUCAAUUUACUAGGUCUUCUUUUUUGGUUUUUAGGAAACAAAUAUUAUUGCAGCUUUGUUGUUUAAAUUUCCUGUCUUAUCCGAGUAAACCUUUUGAUGCUUCCUCUGAUCUUCUUCAACAAGAGCUUGAAUUCAAGCAUUGUGUAAUUCACAUUGUGUCAAUUCACUUUCUUAGGAAGUAACAACCCAUGCCAUUCGCUGACGUUCCUAAUGCUGAUCCUUUUUGUACUGGAACUCAUGGAGAACUUGUUGGCCUUUUGAUCCCAAAGGAUGGGUAAUUGGCUGAAGAGGUUAUGUUUUUAUUUUGUUUGUUGGUUCUUAAUUUUUUUGUGGAAAUUUUGAAGAGACAGAUUUGUUGCUUUUCAAUAUAUGUUACCUUCUAUAAUUACUAUUCACGUGGUAGUCUCUUCCAUACUUGAUUGUGAUAGUUUAUCCUCUCUUUUUUUCUUUUUUCUUUUUUUACAUAUGUUUGACCUUUUUUGAAUAAGAUCGAGGUUUGACAUACUGAUAUGCUCAUCCAUUUAAAGAUUUUUUUUUCUUUAUUCUUUACAUUUAUGUUUGGUUGAAGUGUGAAGAAUAUUUUCGGUGAAAUGGGUAUGAUAAGCUGUUAACCAAUGCUGCAGAUAUUAUCUGUGCUUUUUAAAAGUAGCCGAUGUUCGUAUUCAAUGCUUUGUGCAGUGUGUUCAGCGUAAAUUUCAUUAUUGUCACGGAAUUUAAUUCUCCAAUUAUUUCCUUUUCAUUCGUAAAUGAUUGAAAUCUGGGAAGAAUGGGCACACCUGCCACUAAUGCUGCUU